UUUAUUGUUUUUGGAAUUUUAUUUAAAGUGGGCUCUUUAUGAGUGUUGUUCUUUUCUCAGGAUUUGAAUUUAAAGGUAUUUUCGUUUUAGUUUUAUCUUAUCAAAUGGCGUGCCAGCAGUUGCGGUUAUACGAUUAAGUUUUAAAAUCUUUUUUGAAAAGUUAAUUUAUUCUUUUAUAUUGAAGGAAUUUGGGUGGAAUUAUUUUCCUUUUUUUCUUUUUGGUUUACUUUUUAAGUUUUUCUUUAGAAGAGGAUUAGAUACCCUUUUAUGAUUUUUUUAGGUAUUUUUGGAUGAUCUUUAAACCUAAGGAUUCUGGCGGUUCUUUUUCUUUUCAGAGGGGCUUGUUUUUUAAUCGAUAGUCCUCGUUAUAAUUUACUUUUUUUAUUAGUUUGUAUACCUCCGUUUGAAGAUGAAUAUUAGUUUUUCUUUCUUUUAAAAGGUUUUUUUAAUUCAGGUCAAGGUUCAAUGUAUAAUUUAGGAAAAAUUAGCCAUACAUUUUAUUUCUUUUUUCUUAGGAGGUUUUAGGAUUUGUUGGUAAAGAAUUAAUGGUAUUUUUUUUUGAACUAGUAAAAAAGGAUGUACAUAUCGCCCGUCACUCUUUUAAAAAGAUAAGUCGUAACAAAGUAGUUGUAUCGGAAGAUGUAUCUUGUUUU
rnacentral:ncRNA from 1 species